UACGAACCGUGCGAACGUUGUUCGGAAUCACUGGGCUUAAAGGGCGCGUAGGCGGGCUGCCAAGUCCGGGGUGAAAUCUUUCGGCUCAACCGGGAAAGUGCCUUGGAUACUGGUGGUCUUGAGGGAGGUAGGGGUAUGUGGAACUUCCGGUGGAGCGGUGAAAUGCGUUGAUAUCGGAAGGAACGCCGGUGGCGAAAGCGACGUACUGGACCUCUUCUGACGCUGAGGCGCGAAAGCUAGGGGAGCGAACGGG
rnacentral:rRNA from 1 species